rnacentral:rRNA from 1 species
CCUACGGGAGGCAGCAGUAGGGAAUCUUGCGCAAUGGGCGAAAGCCUGACGCAGCCAUGCCGCGUGAAUGAUGAAGGUCUUAGGAUUGUAAAAUUCUUUCACCGGGGACGAUAAUGACGGUACCCGGAGAAGAAGCCCCGGCUAACUUCGUGCCAGCAGCCGCGGUAAUACGAAGGGGGCUAGCGUUGCUCGGAAUUACUGGGCGUAAAGGGAGCGUAGGCGGAUAGUUUAGUCAGAGGUGAAAGCCCAGGGCUCAACCUUGGAAUUGCCUUUGAUACUGGCUAUCUUGAGUAUGGAAGAGGUAUGUGGAACUCCGAGUGUAGAGGUGAAAUUCGUAGAUAUUCGGAAGAACACCAGUGGCGAAGGCGACAUACUGGUCCAUUACUGACGCUGAGGCUCGAAAGCGUGGGGAGCAAACAGGAUUAGAUACCCUGGUAGUCCACGCCGUAAACGAUGAGUGCUAGUUGUCGGCAUGCANGCAUGUCGGUGACGCGAGCUACGACAUUAAGUACGACCUCCGCCGUCGGGGUAGGUACGGUCGGCGAGAAGUUAAACGUACGAAGAAGUAGUUACGGCGUGNGAGNGCCGACGGACGACGACGAGGGAGGAGG